rnacentral:tRNA from 1 species
GUCCGCGUGGUGUAGCGGUUAGCACUAUGUUCUUAUAAUGCAUGGGUCGCCAGUUCGAUCCUGGCCGUGGACA